GGACUACAAGGGUUUCUAAUCCCGUUCGCUCCCCUGGCUUUCGCGUCUCAGCGUCAGUAGGCGUCCAGGACCUCGCUUUCGCCACGGGCGUUCCUUCCGAUCUCAACGCAUUUCACCGCUCCACCGGAAGUUCCAGGUCCCCCUACGCCCCUCCAGGACGGUCGUAUCCGCGCCCGUUCCCCGGUUGAGCCGGGGGAUUUCAGCGACGGACGUGCCGUCCCGCCUACACGCGCUUUAAGCCCAGUGAUUCCGAAUAACGUUCGCACGGUUCGUCUUACCGCGGCGGCUGGCAC
rnacentral:rRNA from 3 species